rnacentral:tRNA from 1 species
GCUGGUGUAGUUCAGUUGGUAGAACGAUUGAUUUGUAAUCAAUAUGUCGGGAGUUCAAAUCUCUCCAUCAGCUCCA